AUACGUAGGGUGCAAGCGUUAAUCGGAAUUACUGGGCGUCAAGCGUGCGCAGGCGGUUUUGUAAGACAGCGGUGAAAUCCCCGGGCUCCACCCGGGAACUGGCAUUUUGACUGCAAGGCUGGAGUGCGGCAGAGGGGGAUGGAAUUCCGCGUGUGGCAGGGGAAUGCGUAGAUAUGCGGAGGAACACCGAUGGCGAAGGCAAUCCCCUGGGCCUGCACUGACGCUCAUGCACGAAAGCGUGGGGAGCAAACAGGAUUAGAUACCCUGGUAGUCCACGCCCUAAACGAUGUCAACUGGUUGUUGGGGAUUUAUUUUCUCAGUAACGAAGCUAACGCGUGAAGUUGACCGCCUGGGGAGUACGGCCGCAAGGUUAAAACUCAAAUGAAUUGACGGGG
rnacentral:rRNA from 1 species